UGCCCAGUAACUCCUAUCCCUACCUCCACGCGGUACCGGCCGGAAACUAUGAGCAACCUUAGGGAAGA
rfam:Aedes albopictus isolate Foshan contig8966, whole genome shotgun sequence.